rnacentral:rRNA from 1 species
UACGGAGGAUGCAAGCGUUAUCCGGAUUUAUUGGGUUUAAAGGGUGCGCAGGUUGUUUGAUAAGUCAGUGGUGAAAGUCUGUCGCUUAACGGUAGGAUUGCCAUUGAUACUGUUGGACUUGAAUAUGGAUGAGGUAGGCGGAAUGUGUAGUGUAGCGGUGAAAUGCAUAGAUAUUACACAGAACACCGAUUGCGAAGGCAGCUUACUAAUCCAUCAUUGACGCUGAGGCACGAAAGACGUGGGGAGUCAAA